UACGAAGGGGGCUAGCGUUGCUCGGAAUCACUGGGCGUAAAGGGCGCGUAGGCGGGCUCUUAAGUCAGGGGUGAAAGCCCCGGGCUCAACCUGGGAAUGCCAUUCGAGACUGCAUAGCUAGGGUGCGGAAGAGGGAAGCGGAAUUUCCGGUGUAGCGGUGAAAUGCGUAGAUAUCGGAAGGAACACCAGUGGCGAAAGCGGCUUCCUGGUCCAGCACCGACGUUCAGGCACGAAAGCGUGGGGAGCAAACAGG
rnacentral:rRNA from 1 species